rnacentral:rRNA from 1 species
UACGAAGGGGGCUAGCGUUGCUCGGAAUCACUGGGCGUAAAGGGUGCGUAGGCGGGUCUUUAAGGCAGAGGUGAAAUCCUGGAGCUCAACUCCAGAACUGCCUUUGAUACUGAGGAUCUUGAGUUCGGGAGAGGUGAGUGGAACUGCGAGUGUAGAGGUGAAAUUCGUAGAUAUUCGCAAGAACACCAGUGGCGAAGGCGGCUCACUGGCCCGGUACUGACGCUGAGACGCGAAAGCGUGGGGAGCGAACAGG